rnacentral:lncRNA from 1 species
AAAGGAAUUGUGUCCAUUUACAACUAUAAACAAACAAAUAAAUAAAUAAUAAAAUAAUACCACGUCAUAAUUUGUAACAAUUUAAUAGGCAACAUCUAAUUUGGUUUUGAACCAUGUGUGGAAAAGGGUAUGCUAUUGCAAGACACCUAGAAAAAAUGAGAUAAUGCCAGUCCUAAAAACAUUCUUUAAAGUUGUGAACCCGCUCGUUCAUAGCAUCUUCAUUUAAUUUCCUGUUAGAUGUCAAGUAUAGUCCUGCUAUUUGCCAAGGACUAAGUCUGGAUCUGUGAAGAAUUUGCCAUUUUUUGAAGAAUAACUCAGUGUUGGUAAGAUGUGUUCCAAGCCUCUCUGACCUCUCCCCAUUUCUCCUCAGCUCUUCUUACUCCUUUUUUGACACUUCACUUAUCUCUAGCCUCCACCAGUUUGGCAUCCUAAUCAGUUACUUCUCUGGCUUCCUGCUAACAUGAGAUAACUUAGUUAAAACAGUUUGAUAGAAAACAAAUUGCUUACAAGAAAAUUUUUUUCACCCUGAGAAAUUAGUCCAAAAUUAUUAUUUCUGACCACUGUUUUUUUGUGUGUUUGGUAAUUUUGGUGGCCAAGGAUUUGUUUUCCUGCUUCUUUAGAUCUUUGAGGAUUUUUUUAAUACACAUAUAUAUAAGCAAGUUUUUCAGGGAUUUAUAAUACUAUUUUCUAGUGUGUGUGUAUGGUGCUCAGGGCCUCACACAUGCUAGACAAAUACUAUACCUCUGAGCUAUAGCUUAUAUUUUAAACUAUUGAUAGUAUGGGACAUUUACAUUGUUUCCUUAUAAUUUUCUAAAAUUAAUUUAGAUUUAAGAACAACAUUUUUUAAAAUUAUAAUAAAGUGUAAUGAAUGAUUAAGACUUUAAGGGCAGCAAGACAUUCUAUAUAGAAAACAAGUACUUGGGAAUAUUUCUUUUUUAAAUUUUGUUUUUAAUAUUUUUUAGUUGUGGUUAAACACAAUACAUUUUAUUUGUUUUUAUGUGGUGCUACGGAUCAAACCCAGGGCCGAGCCACAACCCCAGCCCAAGAGAAUAUUCCUUUUUGACCUACUUAUCCUCUAAUUCAGUUUGUUUCACCCAGAUCACCCAAUCCUCUCUUUAUUGCAUUUCAGUUCCCAUCACUUCACUCUGUUCUAUGAUUUCGUAUGGCUUUUCUCCCACUCCUUGUCUCAGGCAGCAUAAGGCAGUGUUGGCCUAUGCUUUUGGUUACCUAUACCACUGUUUAGGAUCUUCCCUUGCAAGCAUUCCUUCUAUACAUGUUCCUACCUAUUUACUAAACCUUUUCCUUCCUUUACUCUGACUAAUGAAGUCCUAACCUUGAGCAUCUUUUUUCCUUCCUCCCUUCAUCCUUCUCUUCCUUCCUGCCUAUAGUAAAGUAUUUUUAGGCAGAUGUAAUGAAUGCAGGUUAAUAAAAACAAUAAUUUGAUGACAGCUAAGAUUUAUGGAAUACUUAAUAUUUGCCAGUAUUAGUUGGAUGCAGUGGCACACACCUGUAAUCCCCAUGACUCAGGAAUCUGAGGCAGAAGGAUUGCAAGUUCAAGGUCAGCCUCAGUAACUUAGACCCUCAGCAGGUUAGCAAGAUCCUGUCUCAAAAAAUAAAAAGGAAAUGGGCCAUGUAUGUAUAAUACAUCAAAACAUACUCUACUGUUAUGUAUAUCUAAAAAAAAAAAAAAAAAAAAAAGGAAUGGGGAUGUACUCAGAGGCAAGGUACCCCUGGGUUCAAUUAUGUAUAUCUCUAUCUAAUCUACACAUGCAUACAUACAUACAUACACACAUAUGCCUGCAUGCCAGGCUUCCUUCUAAAUACUUGGUAUGUAUUGACUCAUGAACUCCUCACAAAAAUGCUGUAAACUAGAUACUGCUAUAAUCCCAUUUUAUAAACAGAUACAGAGAAAUUAAGUAUCUUCCCAAGAUCAUAUAGAAUUGUCAGUAUUAUCUGGAAUCAUUAAGAAAUAGUCAUCAUAGCUGGGCAUGGUGGUGCAAACCUGAAAUCCCAGCAGCUCAGGGGGCUGAGGCAGGAGGAUUGCAAGUUCAAAGCCAGCCUCAGCAAAAGCGAGGUGCUAAGCAACUCAGUGAGACCCUGUCUCUAAAUAAAAUACAAAAUAGGGCUGGGGUGUGUCUCAGUGGUUGAGUGCUCCUGAGUUCAAUCU